rnacentral:tRNA from 1 species
UGCAUCCGUCGGGAAUCGAACCCGGGCCGCCCGCGUGGCAGGCUAGUAUUUUACCACUAAACUACCGAUGC